ACUAAAUGUAAUCCAAAUCCAUUUUAGCAUUUUAAACGAUACUGAUCGUAUAAGUUUAAAAUAUUGAGUUCAGUAAAAUAACAUUUGACACGUGAAUCGAACCCACAACAUAUAUGUAUAGAUAUGAGAAUUGUUUUUGCACCCAAAAUUAUCAUAUCGGCCACCAGAAUACUCCUGCUUAACGUAAUCCUGCAAUCAACGACUUAAAGAUCAUCCAUGACUGAAGUAUAAUAGGAGAGUAUACUUUUUACCCGACUGCGCCAGAAGGAGGGUUAUGUUUUUCGAGUGUAUGUAUGUAUGUAUGUAUGUAUGUAUGUAUGUAUAAUUGUUUGGCACGCUCUGCAGCCUAAACGGCUUGAUGGAUUUUGGCUUGAGAGGUGUCGUUGGAUUCGUAUUUACUGUGAGAGUGACACUGGAUAUAUCAAAAUAAUAAAAAAACAAAAUGGCGGAUUUUUGGCGCCAAAUUCGAAUAUUUCUCACUCUCUAGCCUAAACGGCUUGAUGGAUUUUGACUUGAGAGGUGUCGUUAGAUUCGUAUUUACUGUGAGAGUGACACUGGAUAUAUCAAAAUAAUAAAAAAACAAAAUGGCGGAUUUUUGGCGCCAAAUUUGAAUAUUUCUCACUCUCUAGCCUGAACGACUCGAUGGAUUUCCGCUUGAUAGGGGUCGUUUGAUUCGUAUUUACUGUGAGAGUGACACUA